AAGGGCAAAUUUUUUUCGGAAUACCUCGUGAAUAAAUAGCGAAAAUGUGCAAAUUCAUCUAUCUGUGCUAUGGCAGCUGUAGACAAAAUAAAAAUUUUGUUUUCCCUUAAGUGAAAAGUUUGGAAAAUAACUCAGUUAAAGGCUAAUUAGAAUGCAUGAAGCCGGCAUAAAAAUUGGUCGAAUUGCUGCUUCAAUGAACCGACAUCGUAAUACAGUCACAAAUUAUUUGAAACAUCGUCAAAACAAUGAUGAUAUCAAGCGUAUUGGUCGGUUACCAGCGAUUGAUAAGCAGACCAAGAUACGCAUUCAUCAUCCUGCUUGCAAUGAGUCUCCGCAUGACACUGACCACCUCUAUGCAUGCCCUGCCAACCCCACCCAUCUAACACCCCUUUCCCUUGUGUCGACUCCGUCGAAACAGCACGUUUUCUGGGCCUCUCGCUAGAUAACGUCGACGACAACCUGGAUAACCUUUACCAUCCUAACGAUUGAUAUACCAUUAAAACAACAACAACAACGCAUUCAAUUCUAAGCAACUAGCGAAAGCAUGAGAAUUAGGCCUACCAAUCACUUAACAGCGUGUUCAGCAGCAUGAAGCAUGGAAUAAGACUUAAGUUUGAAUCAAAAGUAGCCCAGUCGCGAUUGAAUAAGCGACAUAAAGAUGCCCGUCUUUAGCUCUAUAUGUACUUUUCACCGACUAAGGUGAAUGCCGAAGUAUACAUUGAUCUACUAAAUAGAAGACAACGCCCAGAUUCGUUUGGCGAACGCUACAAAAGCAUUUUUUCAGUCCCGGAAUAUUGAAUUAUUGGAUUGGCCAGCUUUGAGUCUUGAUCUCAACCCUAUAGAGGACCUUUGAGAUAUACUUACGGCUAAAGUAUAUGCACAUGUCAAGCGAUAUGAUACUAUUGAGUUAAAAAUAGUGAAAAUUCAGUUAACCGUUCUGCAAAACCUAUUAUUAUAUUAUGUGCUCUGGAUACUUUAAGGGGGUAUUCUGGUCUAGAAGCAUGAAUUGCAGGUAAUUUUUAAA
rnacentral:lncRNA from 1 species